UUUCCUUUUCCUCCUCCUCCCAGCCCACCCCCACCCCUUGCAACUAUAAUAGAUUUUCUUCCUUGAAGAAGCCCACCUGGAUUUCACCCCCAGUUACCUUGGAUCUGUGGGCUCAGGAUGAUAGUUCCAGAGGAUCCCCUGAGCUGCCACAUAGAACUGCCUUAGUUGCGCGGCCUCUGCCUGGUGGCUGCCCCAGCCCGCCCAGCGGGUUCCCAGAACCACCAGGAGGAAGAAGCACGGGCAGACUAGGAGCAUGGCCCUUGUCCUGCCGCGCGCUGCCACCACCGACAGUGCUCAGUGCUCUGUCCCUGUUGCGCGCUGAUCUGUCUCCCUGGAGGACUAAGAAGCUGCAGGGCACAAUCUUCUGUGUCCCCUAGUACCAUCUGGAGGUUUCUGUGAAAGUCUCAGCAGCAGAGGUGUAAACAACCUCAUUGAUAUGAAACAUGGAAGACCCAGGAGAUCUUAAAGCAGGCAUCCCCUUAAACUAGAGGUCUGCCUGCCCACCAACAUUGCUACUCUGCAAUCCCAAGAGAAAGACCUUCGGUUUUCCAGAGCCUGGUCACCUGGUGAGGAAGAUGCUCCAGGGCCUUGGACUCUCCCGUUUUCAGCAACAGCAAAGUAACAACAAGCCACAGACCAGAGCAGAAACAUUUGCUCCUGGGUCUGUGGCUGAGCUGGAGGAAGAGAACCUCAGCAAAUGCCCAAAUGCCAUGGAGUUACAGUCAAGUGUGACAGGAAACUUGACACUUGCAUGUGGAAUCCUGAGAAAUCGAAUGAGACAUUGGCAGACCGGGUUUCUGAAAAAGAAACAAACUAAUUAAAGGACUGCUUCCUUACAAGAUAAAGAAGUCUUUCACCGUGGGCCCCUCUGAUGUCUGAGACAUUUGCCUCUUUCUAGGUUCUGCACUGUCUACCAGCAGGAAAGGGGACUUUUCCCUGUACUGUUUGAAAAGAUGACUUCAGGUGGUUUCUGCUCAGGUAGCACAGGGGAUUUUGAGGCAAGCCCACACUGUCAACGUCACUUCCUUGGCAUCAGUGGGAUCUCAAACAUCCUGGAACAGGUUAUGUACUGCUAGAACCUCUCAUCUGGGCGGGAAUGGAAAUCCAAGGAUAAAUUCUAUUGUCUCCACUCAGUCACACAUACUUGUUGCCAAUAUCAGAGCUUAAUAUUCUAAUACAUGCUUAAAAUUCCAUACAUAUGAUAUAAAGAAAAUUCAAGACUGGUAUUCUUGCCUUUUCAC
rnacentral:lncRNA from 1 species